rnacentral:rRNA from 1 species
CCUACGGGAGGCAGCAGUAGGGAAUAUUGCACAAUGGAGGAAACUCUGAUGCAGCGAUGCCGCGUGAGUGAAGAAGGCCCUUGGGUUGUAAAGCUCUUUCGUCGGGGAAGAAAAUGACUGUGCCCGAAUAAGAAGGUCCGGCUAACUUCGUGCCAGCAGCCGCGGUAAUAC